rnacentral:rRNA from 1 species
GACGAACGCUGGCGGCGUGCUUAACACAUGCAAGUCGAGCGGUAAGGCCCUUUCGGGGGUACACGAGCGGCGAACGGGUGAGUAACACGUGGGUGACCUGCCCUCAGCUCUGGGAUAAGCCUGGGGAAACCGGGUCUAAUACUGGAUAUGACUCCAUGACGCAUGUUGUGGGGUGGAAAGCCUUGUGCGGCUGAGGAUGGGCCCGCGGCCUAUCAGCUUGUUGGUGGGGUGANGGCCUACCAAGGCGACGACGGGUAGCCGGCCUGAGAGGGCGACCGGCCACACUGGGACUGAGACACGGCCCAGACUCCUACGGGAGGCAGCAGUGGGGAAUCUUGCGCAAUGGGCGAAAGCCUGACGCAGCGACGCCGCGUGAGGGAUGAC